CAGCCGCCACGGGAAUACGUAGGGUGCAAGCGUUAAUCGGAAUUACUGGGCGUAAAGCGUGCGCAGGCGGUUAUAUAAGACAGAUGUGAAAUCCCCGGGCUCAACCUGGGAACUGCAUUUGUGACUGUAUAGCUAGAGUACGGCAGAGGGGGAUGGAAUUCCGCGUGUAGCAGUGAAAUGCGUAGAUAUGCGGAGGAACACUGAUGGCGAAGGCAAUCCCCUGGGCCUGUACUGACGCUCAUGCACGAAAGCGUGGGGAGCAAACAGGAUUAGAUACCCGGGUAGUCCCUGUCUCUUAUAC
rnacentral:rRNA from 1 species